UUUCUUUCCCUUUUCUUUCUUUAUUUUUGAGGAAGGAAAGAAAAAAGGAAUCCACACAUUAAGAUAACAAGAAACAGUGCUACCACAUUGAAAAUCCGGGGGAAAUAUUUUGCAGUUCAUGAAAACUCAGUUCACAUAUGCAACAAGCUGCUUUGAUGACUGAGCCAUAACUCUGCCAUAUUUGGAAGGGAUUAAGCUGGAAGCUUGUGGACCUCACAAAUUGCUGAGGAUUCUCCCAGAUCCUGUCUCUUGUGAACUGCACACCUUCGAGAAAGAAGCAGCAUCGUUUCUUCAUUUUUACCUGGCCACUUCAACAACCUUUCAACCUGAAAUAAAGAAACGAGCAAGUUGGAGCAUA